rnacentral:tRNA from 1 species
GGGGCUGUAGUUAAAAUUAUAAAACAUUUAAUUUGCAAUUAAAAAAUAUUAAUAUAUAAAACUAUCUCA